AGUGAACGCUGGCGGCAGGCCUAACACAUGCAAGUCGAACGCAUCGCAAGAUGAGUGGCAGACGGGUGAGUAACGCGUGGGAACAUACCCUUUUCUACGGAAUAGCUCUGGGAAACUGGAAUUAAUACCGUAUACGCCCUACGGGGGAAAGAUUUAUCGGGGAAGGAUUGGCCCGCGUUGGAUUAGCUAGUUGGUGGGGUAAAGGCCUACCAAGGCGACGAUCCAUAGCUGGUCUGAGAGGAUGAUCAGCCACAUUGGGACUGAGACACGGCCCAAACUCCUACGGGAGGCAGCAGUGGGGAAUAUUGGACAAUGGGCGCAAGCCUGAUCCAGCCAUGCCGCGUGAGUGAUGAAGGCCUUAGGGUUGUAGAGCUCUUUCACCGAUGAAGAUAAUGACGGUAGUCGGAGAAGAAGCCCCGGCUAACUUCGUGCCAGCAGCCGCCGUAA
rnacentral:rRNA from 1 species